rnacentral:rRNA from 1 species
GCAAGUCGAGCGGAAACGAUGGAAAGCUUGCUUUUCAGGCGUCGAGCGGCGGACGGGUGAGUAAUGCUUGGGAAUAUGCCUUAUGGUGGGGGACAACAGUUGGAAACGACUGCUAAUACCGCAUAAUGUGCUUAACGUGGUGUUAAGUACCAAAGGGGGGGAUCUUCGGACCUCCCGCUUAUAGAUUAGCCCAAGUGAGAUUAGCUAGUUGGUAAGGUAAUGGCUUACCAAGGCGACGAUCUCUAGCUGGUUUGAGAGGAUGAUC